GACGAACCUUGCUAACGUUAUUCGGAAUUACUGGGCGUAAAGGGCUCGUAGGCGGCCAACUAAGUCAUACGUGAAAUCCCUCAGCUUAACUGGGGAACUGCGUGUGAUACUGGAUGGCUUGGAUGUGGGAGAGGGAUGCGGAAUUCCAGGUGUAGCGGUGAAAUGCGUAGAUAUCUGGAGGAACACCGGUGGCGAAGGCGGCAUCCUGGACCAUUAUUGACGCUGAGGAGCGAAAGCCAGGGGAGCAAACGGG
rnacentral:rRNA from 1 species